UAAAGGGAAAUAUUAGCUUCAUUUUAUAGAUGAUGAAAACCAAAGCCCAGAGAUUUGGACUGUUUAAAGUUGCAGCAGAUUAAAGCCCAGGUACCAAUCAGCAAGUUACCCACUUGGAUUCUUCAACUGGCAAAUGAAACACAUUUACCUGCACUAAAAAUGAAGUCAGUUGGUUUGAUCUAAGUCCCUGCGGGAAACUUGAUCCACCAAGUGAUCCAAGGAACUCAAUAUGGAUUCACUGGCUAAAGAUUUUUCCUUUAAAAACAUGUAAUGAGAAGACAGAGCUGGAUCUUCUUAGCACCCAUCCAUUUUGGAGAUUGGUGGUAGACUAUGGAUGGCAUAAAAAGAU